GGACGAACGCUGGCGGCGUGCCUAAUACAUGCAAGUCGAGCGAUAUCUUGGGAGCUUGCUCCCGAAGAUAUAGCGGCGGACGGGUGAGUAACACGUGGGCAACCUACCUUUAAGACUGGGAUAACUUCGGGAAACCGGAGCUAAUACCGGAUAAAUCUUUUUCUACUCAUGUAGGAAAGCUGAAAGAUGGCUCCGGCUAUCACUUAUAGAUGGGCCCGCGGCGCAUUAGCUAGUUGGUGGGUAACGGCUCACCAAGGCAACGAUGCGUAGCCGACCUGAGAGGGUGAUCGGCCACACUGGGACUGAGACACGGCCCAGACUCCUACGGGAGGCAGCAGUAGGGAAUCUUCCGCAAUGGACGAAAGUCUGACGGAGCAACGCCGCCGUGAGUGAUGAAGGUUCUCGGAUCGUAAAACUCUGUUGUUAGGGAAGAAACAGUACCGUUCGAAUAGGGCGGUACCUUGACGGUACCUAAUUAGAAAGCCACGGCUAACUACGUGCCAGCAGCUGC
rnacentral:rRNA from 1 species